rnacentral:rRNA from 1 species
UACGUAGGGUCCGAGCGUUGUCCGGAAUUACUGGGCGUAAAGAGCUUGUAGGCGGUUUGUCGCGUCUGCUGUGAAAAUCCGGGGCUCAACCCCGGACUUGCAGUGGGUACGGGCAGACUAGGGUGUGGUAGGGGAGACUGGAAUUCCUGGUGUAGCGGUGAAAUGCGCAGAUAUCAGGAGGAACACCGAUGGCGAAGGCAGGUCUCUGGGCCACUACUGACGCUGAGAAGCGAAAGCAUGGGGAGCAAACAGG